rfam:Schistosoma haematobium scaffold1103_1, whole genome shotgun sequence.
AUCCAGCUGACGAGCCCCAAAUGGGACGAAACUCGCGUUCUGUAU